UGCUGUUGGAAGAGCUCGCGGAUAAUUCGCAUGGCUUCGAUGUUGUGUGUCUCCAAGAGCUCUUUCCCCUUGGGUCACCAUGGAGAGAUGAAUUUGUUGCGGCGACGAAGCGUUUGGGAUUCUUUC
rnacentral:ribozyme from 1 species